UCGUACAAAAACGUGAUUUAACUUUUCUUCAUUAAUCUUGCGUUUUUGUCAUCGUUUAUUUGGUUGUUUGGUUGUAUGAGCUAUGAAAAAUUAUAUGUGUGUAUGAAAUUUAUGAAAUGAAAGGAAUUAAAAUCGUGAGAAUUUGCGCGCGAGCGAUGCAAUUUUCAGACGUCGCAUGCUACAUGAUUCCGUAAACACAUCGUCAUUAAUGUCUGUAAAACGUACAGUGGAUUUUAAUAUGAAACAAAUGAACGAAAGACUGCUGAAUCUUAUGUCAAAGACAGUGAAUAUUCUGAAGAUGAAAUGAGUUCUACAAAAUCAACAUAGCCCGUUGAUAGAUGUCUUGAAAGCAGACUGGGAUUUUUUCUCUGUAGAAGAGAGCAUGUGCUCAAUACUGCCAACAAUUACAAGAGAUACUAUGUAGCUAUGUUGAACUUUCAUCUUUGAAUAAUGUUGCUUAAAAAAGAGUGUCGCUAUUUGUUGGCAACGUUAAAAUUUAACUAUUACGAAUUUGCAAUAAAAGUAAAAUAAUCACUCAUAUAUUGAUAUAUACUAUUAUUUCCAUUUUAACUUAGGAGGAUUUAGUAUAAGAAUUGUUUCCCUAUCGACGAUGUAAAUUUUCUUUCAAUGAAAAAUUGUUCUUUAUUCCA